AUAUAGGACAAUCAAUGUCCAUUUUUUUUACUUUUUUGCCCUUAUAAGGGUAUUUUCGUCAAUUGGUAAUUGGAAGUCUUUCCCAUAUAUAUGGAGAAGAUAGAAGAGAGAAGAGGGAAUGGGAGAAAGAAGAGGGAACGAGAGAAGAGGGAACACAGAGCAUGUGGGUUGUUUGUGUCUGUUCUUCUUCUUCUCCGAUUGCUAUCAAUUACCCCAACUGAUCAAUUGCUAUCAAUUAUUAUCCUCAGGCUAGAGAAGUUCUAACAGAGGUGCAUUUCUUUCCCUUUAAUCCAGUGGACAAGUGUAGCUCCUUAACAUACAUAGACACUGACGGUAAUUGGCACCGAGUAAGCAAGGGAGCACCGGAGGAGAUUAUUGAUUUGUGCAACGUUAGAGAAGAUGUGAGAAGGAGAGCUAUUUCCAUUAUUGAUAAAUUUGCUGAACACAGUCUCUCUUCCCUUGCUGUUGGACCAUCUCAUGGCUCAGGAUUGACUUGGCAUAUGAGAAUUAAGAUUUCUCUUGACACAACAAGAUUUGUAACUUUUGCUUGCUCUCUUUGCAACUUGCUUUACAAUAUAGUGUGGAUAGAACUUAUAGUCUUCAUCUGAGUUACCAAUAUCCAAAAAUAUUUUUACUUGCUAUGUGUAUUGCAAGUUUUGAUAUGAGGCUAUUGAAUUAAUGUCUCGGACUGUUGUGGCAGAGAAUUUACCUGACGAUCAUUCCCAUCAAAAUCUUCAGAAAAUAUUUGCCAUAGUCGAGAGCGUCAAAACAAUCAGAAUAUGCCAUCCCCAAGAACCAAAUUCUUCUCGGCCGAAAGGUGAUUUCCUCAUCAGUAACAAGGUAAAAAAAAUAUGUCAUAUACUAUAUUACUAUGUUGUCUUGGCAGUCAAGGGUGAUGCAUCUCUUGAGUGAUAAAUGAAAGCACCCGUAGCACCUAGAGAAUGUGUCCUGGUAGGUUUGCAUAAAGACCUUGAACCCUGAUAUCUUCUCACUCUAACUUGCAAUGAAUAAUUCCAAUACCAUUCGUAUUAAUUCAUUUUUCUUUUUAUUUUGUGAAUUGGAUCCCUGUCUUCUAAUCUUUGUUCUCUCCAAUCGAAUACAAACUAUAGGAAUGCGUGGAUGCAGCAGAUGGAAAACCAACAGAUGAAAAUGUGGACUUUACCUGUCUAUUGAAAAUGCUGAUGCUGAUCUUAGAACUUUGCCUUUCAGCAAUCUGAAACAAAUUUCAGGAACAAAGAGUAGAAAUCAGAAUAAAGAGAUGCUGUGCAUAAAAUGCGUAAGGUCCGUGGUUCAAACCCCGGCCACCGCCAAAAUCAAGAUCUUGAAUUCAUGCAUCAUGAAAGAAAACUAAAUAAUAUGGGUUCAGAUCUGGUCCAAGGACACUGGCACUAGAGCAAGGGCUUUAGGCACCCCAAAAUUUGUAGGCCUCUGAAUCUUUUUUCGUUUUAAAUAUAUUUUCAUAAGUCGAAUUUUCUAAACAUUUUUGCAUCAGAGAUAGACUCUCACAAACUGAUGAAUCAAUAUUUUUUUUAAUGAUGAUGAAUCAAUAUUUGAUUACUAAAUAUGGGCAAUGAAUAUUUCCUUAAAUAAAGUUACACAUUUACUGUUCUUAAUUUUUAUAUUUCUUUGUCAACAAAAUUAAAAGGCUCGAAUUUCAAAUUCGCUUUAAGCCAUCAAAUUUCCCUUCAUUUACACGAGAUUCAUAGAGAGUUAGACGAUGAGAUUUCGCAAUUUUUUACUUGCAAAAUUGCACUGAGUUGGGGAAAAGUGCAUUUUUCAGGUUAUUGAUCACUUGGCUGCUCAAUCCUAUAUAUUAUCAGGCAAAUCCUCCAAGAAGACAUCAUUUGCUUAUCAAUCAAAUUGGCCACAAUUUCUGCAUCAAAUUCUGAAAAUGCAGCUCUGCACAUAAAUUUAAAGUUAGUUACUUACCUAGAGCAACAAAAAUAAUUUAUGUGCAUAUGCAAUUAGGUAUAUGAAUGAAUUUUCUCAUAAUCAAACCUGAAAUCUAGGUGUUGCUUUCUUAGUAGUGUUAUCAAAUAUCAGCCGCAACGACACUAUGGCGGGUUGUGGUGGCAGAUUUUAAAUUUUCUGUUAUGGUAAAUGGCGGCCGAUAUCCUGCCAUUUCCGCUAUAAUUACGUCAUACAGAACUGUAAUUGCGCCAUAUAAUGAGCACUAAAGACCCUUUCUCAUUAGUAGCAAUGUUGGGCAUAUUGAGUUCUUGAUCUUGGAUAAAUAGGGAGAUGAGAUACAAGUGUCCAUGAACUGGCAUUUGCAAGACCGGCUGGUUGGUUCCAAUUUGUUAGGGACAAUCACCUACAAGAGGACGACAAGCUGCUAUUCGAUUUAGGUGUUCCUCCUACAGUGUUGUUUGUGGAGUUGGUCCGUAAAAAUGAUCUUGCUUGAAGAAAAGUUCUAAACUUUUGGAAAUUGUACGCUGGCAUGUAUAUUUUGUAUAAUAUUUCGAUGACAAUGUUUUGAAUGUGGUUUGGAUUUAGUAAUCCAACCCUUUUUUGGUAACCAACCUUAAAUUGGUUAUACACUACAUGACAACAUCUAUAUAUCUGCUGGAGUACAUUAUGUACGCAAUGACAAUAAUUGUUAUGCUAUCUUUAAUGCCAUGUCUUAGACCAUGCAUCACAAAUAUUCGGAUUAUGUGACCUUCGUUCACAAAUAUCUGUAAUUUGAACAUAUCUCCUUUAGAGUUAAUUUUUUAAAAAACA